AGUGAACGCUGGCGGUAUGCCUAACACAUGCAAGUCGAACGGCAGCACAGUAAGAGCUUGCUCUUACGGGUGGCGAGUGGCGGACGGGUGAGGAAUACAUCGUAAUCUACUUUUUCGUGGGGGAUAACGUAGGGAAACUUACUCUAAUACCGCAUACGACCUACGGGUGAAAGCAGUGGAUCUUCGGACCUUUCGCGAUUGAAUGAGCCGAUGUCGGAUUAGUUAGUUGGCGGGGUAAAGGCCCACCAGGGCGACGAUCGGUAGCUGGUCUGAGUGGAUGAUGAGCCACAGUGGACCUGAGACACGAUCCAGGCUCUGACGGGAGGCACAAGUGGGGAAGGUUGGAAAAUGGGCGCAAGCCUGAUCCAGCCAUACAGGGUGGGUGAAGAAGGCCUUCGGGUGGUAAAGCCCUUUUGUUGGGAAAGAAAAGCAGCAGGUUAAAACCCCGCUGUUCUGACGGUACCCAAAGAAUAAGAACCGGCUAAUUUCGU
rnacentral:rRNA from 1 species